rnacentral:rRNA from 1 species
GAUGAACGCGGCGGCGUGCCUAACACAUGCAAGUCGAACGGAGAUUACGGACGGAAGUUUUCGGAUGGAAGUUUGUAAUUCUUAGUGGCGGACGGGUGAGUAACGCGUGGGCAACCUGCCCUAUACAGGGGGAUAGCAGCUGGAAACGGCUGGUAAGACCGCAUAAGUCGGUUAAAUCGCAUGAUUUGAUCGGGAAAUGAGCAAUCAGGUAUAGGAUGGGCCCGCGUCCGAUUAGCCAGUUGGCAGGGUAAAAGCCUACCAAAGCGACGAUCGGUAGCCGGACUGAGAGGUCGGACGGCCACAUUGGGACUGAGACACGGCCCAAACUCCUACGGGAGGCAGCAGUGGGGGAUAUUGCACAAUGGAGGAAACUCUGAUGCAGCGACGCCGCGUGAGUGAAGAAGUAUUUCGGUAUGUAAAGCUCUAUCAAGCAAGGGAAAGAUGA